rnacentral:tRNA from 1 species
GGGCGAAUGGCGCAGCGGUAGCGCACCUCUCUUACAAAGAGGUGGUCGGGGGUUCGAAUCCCUCUUCGCCCA